rnacentral:lncRNA from 1 species
GAGGCUGGGUGGAGCGGAUACAUUUUGUAAACUGGAUUCCCUUAUUCAACAAAGUGCUUAGUGAAUCAGUUGACAGCAAUGCCAGGGUCCUCUGAGGACAGGGCCUUCCUGGAGGUCACUUGAGCCACUUGCCCCAAGGUGGUUUUCAGGGGAGUGUGCCCAGCGCUCGCUGCCUGUCUGCAGCUGGGCAGAGCAGCCCCUCUUCCGCGUCCAGCUCCACCUGGCUGCCCUGCCACGGCCCCAGCGGGCAACCCCCUUGUCCUUGACGCCCCUUACUGCCUGCUGCAGCUGGGUGACCUCCCUCCAAUAGGAGCUUGACAGUAGCUUUUUCGAUCCGUAGGAAGAUGCCAAGAGCGGAGCUGAGAGUGCAGCACAAGGACCUCUGAGAAGUCUUGUCUUCCUCCAAGCAGUGAGAAAAGUGGCGGGAAGAAAUAGAAAAUCUGAUCCUAAAAUUCAUGUGGAAUUGCAAGAGGCCUCAGAGAGCCAAAACUACCUAAUGAAAGAACUAAGAUGGAAGACUUACAUGUCCCGAUUUCAAAACUUACUACAAAGCUAUAGUAAUCAAGGCAGUAUGGUACUGGCUUAAGGCCAGGUAUAGAGACAAUAGAACAGAAUUGAAAGUCCAGAAAUAAACCCUUACUUUUAUGGUGAACUGGUUUCAACAAGGGUGACAAAACCACUCACUGGAGGAGAGAUCAGCUCUUCAGCAAAUGGUACCGAGACAACUGGACUUCCACUUACAACACAAGGUAUUUGGACUCCUACCUCACACCAUACACAAAAAAUUAACCAUGCACAAAAUUGAUCACUGACCUAAAAGUAAAAUCCAUGAGUUUCGGGCUCACAGGGGUAGACAGACAGGGCCGAGGGGCUGGUCUCCCAGUGAAGGUGCUGGAGGUUCCUCAGUGUCCUUCCCUGACAGCUGAGCCUG